rnacentral:tRNA from 1 species
AGGGAUGUGGCUUAGUGAUAGAGCACAUGCCUGGCACGUGUGAGGCCCUGGGUUUGAUCCCCAGCACUGCAA